GCCGCUGUUGGGCAAUGGUCGCCCGCUGGUCUUGAGAACCAGUUUCCUCUGGAUGUCCCGGUUCGACUCCGGGCAGCGGCG
rnacentral:tRNA from 6 species